rnacentral:rRNA from 1 species
AGAGUUUGAUCCUGGCUCAGGAUGAACGCUAGCUACAGGCUUAACACAUGCAAGUCGAGGGGCAGCAUGAAGGAAGCUUGCUUCCUUUGAUGGCGACCGGCGCACGGGUGAGUAACGCGUAUCCAACCUGCCUGAUACUCGGGUAUAGCCCAGUGAAAACUGGAUUAACCCCCGAUGUGGUCCUUUGCAGACAUCUAAUUAGGAUUAAAGUUUACGGUAUGGGAUGGGGAUGCGUCUGAUUAGCUUGUUGGCGGGGUAACGGCCCACCAAGGCGACGAUCAGUAGGGGUUCUGAGAGGAAGGUCCCCCACAUUGGAACUGAGACACGGUCCAAACUCCUACGGGAGGCAGCAGUGAGGAAUAUUGGUCAAUGGGCGAGAGCCUGAACCAGCCAAGUAGCGUGCAGGAUGACGGCCCUAUGGGUUGUAAACUGCUUUUGUGCGGGGAUAAAGUGGGGGACGUGUCCCUUUUUGCAUGUACCGUAUGAAUAAGGACCGGCUAAUUCCGUGCCAGCAGCCGCGGUAAUACGGAAGGUCCGGGCGUUAUCCGGAUUUAUUGGGUUUAAAGGGAGCGCAGGCCGAUGAUUAAGCGUGACGUGAAAUGUAGACGCUCAACGUCUGAACUGCAGCGCGAACUGGUUCUCUUGAGUGCGCGGGAAGUAGGCGGAAUUCGUCGUGUAGCGGUGAAAUGCUUAGAUAUGACGAAGAACUCCGAUUGCGAAGGCAGCUGACUGUAGCGUAACUGACGCUGAAGCUCGAAAGUGCGGGUAUCGAACAGGAUUAGAUACCCUGGUAGUCCGCACGGUAAACGAUGGAUGCCCGCUGUUUGCGAUAUAAUGUAAGCGGCCAAGCGAAAGCGUUAAGCAUCCCACCUGGGGAGUACGCCGGCAACGGUGAAACUCAANNGGAGGAACAUGUGGUUUAAUUCGAUGAUACGCGAGGAACCUUACCCGGGCUUGAACUGCAGGCGAACGAUUCAGAGAUGAUGAGGUCCUUCGGGACGCCGGUGGAGGUGCUGCAUGGUUGUCG